GAUGAACGCUGGCGGCGUGCCUAAUACAUGCAAGUCGAGCGAACAGACGAGGAGCUUGCUCCUCUGACGUUAGCGGCGGACGGGUGAGUAACACGUGGAUAACCUACCUAUAAGACUGGGAUAACUUCGGGAAACCGGAGCUAAUACCGGAUAACAUGUUGAACCGCAUGGUUCAACAGUGAAAGACGGUCUUGCUGUCACUUAUAGAUGGAUCCGCGCCGCAUUAGCUAGUUGGUAAGGUAACGGCUUACCAAGGCAACGAUGCGUAGCCGACCUGAGAGGGUGAUCGGCCACACUGGAACUGAGACACGGUCCAGACUCCUACGGGAGGCAGCAGUAGGGAAUCUUCCGCAAUGGGCAAAAGCCUGACGGAGCAACGCCGCGUGAGUGAAGAAGGUCUUCGGAUCGUAAAACUCUGUUAUUAGGGAAGAACAAAUGUGUAAGUAACUAUGCACGUCUUGACGGUACCUAAUCAGAAAGCCACGGCUAACUACGUG
rnacentral:rRNA from 1 species